GGGUCGUGCACCCCGGGGUGAUAGCAACAGUUUUGCUUCGCUGUCUCCCUGCUUCACAGUGUGAGCGCACGUUUGGGUGUUUCUGAUGAGACUGACUGUAUACUCUCCUGCCAGUGCAGAGGGAAUAAACAGUUCUGUGCAGGUGUACUCAGGGUUCCUUCAGUGCUGGAAUUCUAACUUUGAAACGGCAGAGAGAGUAAACCACAGAGAGGACUUUUCAACAGCAAACGCGCUGCAUUCCUCCUGCUGGUCCGCAGCUGGACUCCAAAGUAAAGUUUACAUUCCUGGGCUGCUGGGAGGAAUGCUGCCCUCUGGGGCUCUGGAACAGGCCUGAGGAUUACAAGUCAGGGACCACAGAUGAAGACUGGGAUGCUCAGUCACAGGGAAAGUCAACUAAGUACACCUGCUGUUACCUCACCUGACCUUUGCCGUCCUCUACAGGGGAACACCAGGUCCCUGUACUGAAGUAGCUGUAGCUAAAUGCCCUGAUAGCAAAGGUAGGUAGUCAACAGCAGUUUCAUUACAGAUUUAUUUUCCCUAAAUGUGUUCCCAGUCAGUUUUUACUUCACUCAGCUGCCAGCUGCUCCUGCCAAACCACUUCAAGUGUUUCAUAUGCAAAGUUUAUUCUUUGGCUUGCAGAGGUCACUAUAUCCAGUGUAUUUGUAGCCAAUCCUAACCCUAACCCUAACCCAACUAACUCUAACUCUAACCCUAACCCUAACCCAACAACUUAAACUAAUUGUCUAUAAUACUUCUGCAUCAAACCAGAUUGCAACAUUCAAAAAAUUGUACAGUCUGUUAACAACUGUUUAUAUAGACAAUAUGGUUCAAUUGAAAGUGUAAGUGAGCUGAUCUAGCAGUGUAUUGAGAUUCAGUAUAUAAUAAAGAAAAGUUUCAUACAGUAAAUUAGAUUUUCUCCAUUUGAAUAUUAGUGCUUUCACAACAGGACUGAGACAGUGAUGAUAUUCUGGGUAGACACGUUGUUUCUCAAAGACACGUGGGCCUUAAUAAGUAAGCACCAAAUGAUAUGUUAAGUGACAUGUCCACUUAGUGUCACCCAAUAACCUGCCAAACGUUUGAUUUUUAACUUUGAAUGGAACGAUGA